rnacentral:tRNA from 5 species
GCACCGGUAGCUCAAUCGGAUAGAGCGUCGGCCUCCGGAGCCGAAGGUUGUGGGUUCGACCCCCGCCCGGUGCA